UCUAUGGUAGAGGUAACAGUUGAAUUGAUCACUGUCGAAACGAGAAUCUCAAAGGCCCCGCCUUUAAAGUCUGUAAAUAUAAUUUACUCGGCCUUUCCGCGAUGAUGCUUUUAUAAAAAAGAAAUAGUAGAUUCACGAGACACCAGUGUUGCAAUAAUGGAAACAAGUAAAAUUAUUUGUCUCUUCGCGAUAUUGUCGCAAGCGGCGGCUCUAUUGACAUCACCGCCGCGAAUCGUCAAGCAGCCGACGGUGGAGGAGCUGCUGUUCCAGGUGGCGCAGCCUGGAGAGGUCGACAAACCUUUUAUCAUUGAAUGUGAAGCUGAAGGCGAGCCAGCACCCAAGUAUAGGUGGAUCAAGAACGGCAAGCCCUUUGAAUAUACGAGCUACGACAAUCGAAUCUCCCAGCAACCAGGUCGUGGUACGCUGGUCGUUAGUAAACCGCGCGACGAGGAUCUCGGCCAGUACCAAUGUUUCGCUUACAACGAAUGGGGAACAGCCACCUCGAAUUCGGUGUAUGUGAGGAAAGCGGAGCUCAACUCCUUCAAAGAGACCGAUGGCCCGCAACAAACAAUCACUGCUCAGGAAGGGCAUCCAUUCAAUCUUACUUGCGCGCCUCCUGAUGGUCAUCCAAGUCCAAAUGUGUACUGGAUGUUGCAAGGCGAACAAGGGCAGCUCAAGACGAUAAACAAUUCGCGUAUGACAUUAGAUCCUGAAGGAAACCUGUGGUUCUCGAACGUAACACGGUUCGACGCGAGCGUUGACUACGCCUAUACGUGUGCCGCAAAAUCGGUAUUCAGAAACGAGUAUAAGUUAGGCAACAAAGUGUACUUGCAAGUUGAACAAACUGGUAUAUCUCCGACAGCGAACAAGUAUCCUCCUGUCAGACAAUAUACGACCAGAAGAGUGGAGAAAGCAUGGCGAGGCAAGAAAGUGGAGCUGUAUUGCAUUUAUGGCGGGACGCCGUUGCCUCAAGUGGUUUGGAAGAAAGAAGGACGGACGAUACUAUCUUCACAGCGGAUAACUCAAGACAAUUAUGGAAAAACUUUAGUAAUUAAACGAGCUGGUUACGAAGAUCAGGGAACGUAUACAUGCGAAGUCAGCAACGGCGUUGGUACUGCCCAGACGUACUCCAUACAGUUGAACGUUGAAGCCGCUCCUUUCUUCAUCGAAGAGCCGCAAUUCCAGAACCUCGCCGAAGGGGAGACAGCGAUUAUAAAUUGUAAAGCUGGCGGUACCCCAGAGCCGCAGAUAGCUUGGGUCCACAACGGUAAACCGAUAGAGCAAGCGGAAUCGAACUCUAGACGACAGGUCACGUCCAAUUCGAUCAUAAUCACGGAUCUGGUUAAGAAAGAUACCGGCAACUACGGUUGUAACGCGACCAACUCGAACGGAUACGUUUAUAAGGACGUCUACAUUAAUGUACAAUCCAUACCGCCGGAAAUCAAGGAGGGUCCAGAAAACCUUACCAAAGUGGACGGUUCGGAAGCGGUUCUCAAAUGUCGCGUGUUCGGCGCGCCCAAGCCAAUCGUCAAAUGGAUGAGAGACGAUGUAGACGUCACUGGUGGAAAGUACAAUAUAACCUCGGAGGGUGACCUCGUGAUCAGAGACGUAUCAUACACCGACAUGGGCACCUACCAGUGCUACGCUAAGAACAAGUUUGGAGAAAAGUCCGCAUUUGGAUCGCUUGUUGUUAAAAAACGCACGGUCAUCACCGACAAACCCGAGCACUACGAGGUCGCGGCGGGCUCCUCUGCGACCUUCCGCUGCAACGCCAACGCUGACGACUCGUUGAAACUGGAGAUCAUUUGGCUCAACGACGGAGAGCCGAUCGAUUUCGAGAACCAACCGAGAUUCCGAAUGACCAACGACUACUCGCUCCUCAUAUCCGACACGACAGAGCUAGAUUCCGGGGAGUACACCUGCAUCGCGAGGACGGCCAUCGACGAGGCGCGCGCUCAGGCGACGUUGACCGUUCAAGACAAGCCCAACCCGCCGGCGCUGGACGGCGUGGAGUGCCACGAGAAGCUGGCCAAGCUGCGCUGGCACUCGAUGGGCGACAACCGCGCGCCCAUCCUGCGCUUCUCCAUCCAGUACAACACCAGCUUCACGCCCGACAGCUGGGACCUGGCCAGCGACAGCGUGCCCGCCAUCGACACGUCGUGGGCCGUGGAGCUGAGCCCGUGGGCCAACUACACGUUCCGCGUGCUGGCGUGGAACAAGAUCGGGCCGUCCGCGCCGUCCGCGCACUCCGACGUGUGCGCCACGCGCGCCGACGUGCCGCACAAGAACCCCGACCGCGUCGAGGGCGAGGGCAGCCAGCCCACCAACAUGGUCAUCUCGUGGUCGAAAAUGCCGCAAAUCGAGCACAACGGGCCCGGCUUCUACUAUCUGGUAUCUUGGAGACGAAACAUCACGGGGCAGACCUGGACCGAGGAGCAGGUUAGGAAUUGGCAGCAGACUGAACUUGUAGUGCCUAAUACGCCCACCUUCCAGCCGUACAAGAUCAAGGUAAUUGCUGUCAAUUCCAAAGGAACUUCGAAUGUCGCUCCAGUAGAAGUGAUUGGAUGGUCAGGAGAAGAUACUCCACUACAGGCACCAUUAAACUUCACCCUUGUUCAAGUAACCACAGGCACUACCGCAGUGUUAAGUUGGAAUCCAGUGUCCCCUGAGUCAGUCCGAGGACACUUUAAAGGAUACAAAAUUCAAACUUGGUCAGAUGGGGAAGAAGACCGACCAAAAGAAAUCUUGGUUAAAGCCGACGCGUCCAGUGCUCUAGUCUCUAAAUUUAAACCGUUCAAGAAAAAUAAUGCAAGGAUCCUAGUCUAUAACGGAAGAUUUAACGGACCCCCCAGCGAAACUCUUAGUUUCGUAACUCCGGAAGGUAAACCUGGUUCGGUCCGAUCAUUUGAAGUUUAUCCAAUCGGAUCUUCAGCUAUGCUCCUAAAAUGGGACAAACCGUUGGACGAAAACGGUAUACUGACAGGAUACAAGAUCUACUACCAGAAAGUUACCGGAACAACUCUUGGGCCAUUGCAAGAAAGAAAAAAGGAGAUCGAUCCCAAAUUUGAUCGCGCAAAGUUGGCUGGACUAGAACCGAACACGAAGUACAGAAUUGAAAUACGCGCGAAGACAAAGGCAGGAGAAGGAGACAAGUAUUAUGUAGAGCAAACCACCAAGGCCAUGGUCAACGCGGUGCCAGACAUACCAGUGUUCGAGACCAGUACAUUACCCGCCAAGGAGGGAACGGCUCACAUUCUGGUCAGGUGGAUACCGUCCCUGGAAGGUCACGUCGGGACUCAUUUCGUCGCCUGGUAUAGACUGAAGGGUCAUCCGGACUGGUUGCAGAGCAACGAAGUCACGGAGGAAGACUACGUAAUCCUGACGGGCCUGGAGCCGGGACAGGAGUACGAGGUGAAGAUCACCGCUCACGACGGAGAAUACUUCAGCACCAGCGAAGUCAAAGUCGUCGAUACCAACAUCGACCCGCGCGUGCGGCCGCGCGAGGAGGCCACGGCGACGGCGGGCUGGUUCAUCGGCGUCAUGGUGGCGCUCGCCUUCCUGCUGCUGGUGCUCGUGCUCGUGUGCGUGGCGCGGCGCAACCGCGGCGGCAAGUACGACGUGCACGACCGCGAGCUGGCGCACGGCCGCGCCGACUGCCCCGACGCCGCCUUCCACGAGUACACGCACCCACUUGACAACAAAUCGCGGCAUUCGAUGAGCAGCGGCACUAAGCCGGGCCCCGAGAGCGAUACCGACUCCAUGGCUGAGUAUGGCGAGGGCGAGACAGCGGGCAUGAACGAGGACGGUUCGUUCAUCGGCCAGUACGGGCGGAAACGACGCCCGCCCACUUCCGGUCAGCCUGACUCGGCCUCGCAGGCCUUCGCUACGCUCGUGUAACCCCGCCUCCACCCCUCCCUCCCCGCACCCACACUUAGGCUGCACAAAGCUGAUAUACGUUCUGUCCGCUAGACGUGUCUUAACGAAGUGCCAUUGCAUCACAAUAAGAACCAAUCGACCAAUCACAGCGAAGCGAGAUCUCUCAUCUGAUCGGCCCAUUCAAUAAAUUUACACACUAUUUUAUUCUAUUUGGUUGUGUUUAGAAUCUCUUUAAAAUUCGAAUUUCUUUGUUUUUAUUAAUAAUACAAGGACGUUUGACCUUUAUUGUACUAUUUUAAAAAUAGUCGCAGUAAAGGUCGUUCCAUACCUUCAACAAUUGCAAGGCGUCUUUUCUACUUAUGCGUUUAGGUUAGGUGUUAAGUACACAGUAGUUGUAAGCUAAUUAGGUUGUAAAAAAAAUAUUAUAGACAGAGUGAAUUGCAGUGAAUGUUUCUAAUUAUUAUAUAGUAUUUUUUAUUAAGCACGAGCGUUAUGUUUUUUAGUUUGCAUUUAUUGUAAGAAUAGAAUAGAUAAACGUAUCCAUAUUUCCGUCCUUGUCUGUUCAUCCUUUAUCUCCUGCACGCGCCACCAUUUUUAUGUUUUCUAAAGAGGUCGCUUCACGGAGGACGGCUCGUUCAUCGGGCAGUACGUGCCGGGCGCGCGCGUGUUGCCGCCCGCGCCGCCCGCGCCGCCCGCCGCGCAGCCGCCCACGUACGUGUAGGCGCCGCCCGCCUGCUGCCGGCUCCGAUCGAGAUUGUGUCGACAGUGUGCUCGCUGGCUACAUCGAUCCAAUCGAAAUCCGAACCGAUUGCUCCGACGCGAUGUUAGAAUCGUAGCGGGGGGUGCGAUGAAAUGUCAACAUUUAAAUUCAAAUACUGCCACCGUUGAAUUCGAUUUUCAUCCCGGCCCCAUAUCGUUUGUGUCUAUUUAGUUUAAAUUUAUUAGUUCGAAGGAGCCGCUAGUUUAAGCUUAAGAUGAGCCCCUCGUAGCGACGGCCCCGGUCGGUGUCGGUGAUGACGGCUAUAAAAAUUAGAUUUACAAAUUUUCCAUUUUAACGUUUGUGUGGAACCCGAAGGAGGCCGAUGUUUUAUUUCAAUGAGGAUACGAUUCGUUUGUUUAAGACUGAUUUUAAGUAACCGUGUAAUAUUAUAGUCCUCAUAACCUGACACUAGGUCCGAAUGUGUAAACAUCGAAGUAUCUCUGUCGCCGUAUAAGUAAGUUUCAAAUUUCAAAAAGAAAUUUACACACAUUCGACUGAGGUAAUACAGGCUCGCAUAGAAUGUAGAAGACGGUUCUGGCUCGAUAUCAAUUACUCGUAUAAUAAGUGCGGUAGAUCGCGAAGACUUGGAUAUAAGAAAUGCUAUUUUUGUCACAGAUAAUAUGGUAUUUGAUUAAAUUUAAAGAAAAUGAAUUGCUCUGAAUGCCGGUGGUCAGAUUCGCUGAUGAUAUCUGGAAUACUCUAUUUAUACAAAUUGCGUAAAUCUUAUUACAAUGUCACAAGGCUUAAAAUUGAAAAAAAAAACUUAAAUAAAUAGAAAACCUGGCACCAUCCUAUCACGUUUAUUUUUUAUAUAAAAUGCAUAUCUUUCUAUACACUUGUCUACAAAAUUGCUAGGACCACGAUGAAAAUUAUAUUUUAUUACUAUUUAAGAUUGAAAUUAUCAAUUCUGAUAUUUAUUCUUCUAUAUAGAGCAAUUGUAUUCGCUUCUUGCAACUUUUUGUAAUUUCUUUAGCAUUACAUUAUAUACAUAAGUCCACCUUUCACCGUUAACUCAUACUAUAUCAAGCAACGAUAAUAUAGUAACGAUCGAAAAGUUUCCUUUUAAUUCUUUAAAAGUAAUAUAUUGUAAAGAAAAUAGAGCAAUUACUCUUUAUAUUAUAAAUAUAUUUUCCUAUAAAGAAUGUAUCGAGUAUUUUUGUAAGCGAGCGGUUUGACCACCGGACGACGUUGGUGCUUUGCGGAGGUGAUCGGAGACGUUUGUAUUCGGUGUUGUGAUCGUAUGAAAGGUAGAUAAGACGCACCGUUUGUUUGUCUGUCAGUGUCGCGGCAACUUGCUCAGCUUUCAUUGAAGGAACGAGAGACGAAACGAAUUGAAGUAACCGCCUUGUAAAUCGCAUUACUGUAACGAUAUUAAAAAAAAAUCUCAAACUACCGCUCUCUUUAGAUAAAAACUAAUUAAAUAUAAUAAAACAAUAAAAAUGGCCAUAAUUUGAUUGUCGCUGAAACGUAAAUCGUCAUAAUUUUUUCCCACUAGUAAAUGUUAAGGCUUUUUAUCUCCCAAUUUAAUAUUUAUCUGCCUUAACGACGCACCUUACAAAUGUUAUGACAAGUUGAUGUUUCCAGUUUUAAUCCUUGACGUGAUACAGACGAGUGCUUAACCAGUGUUGCCAUGCACCAAUACUUUGUUUGGGAAUAUGUAUGUGGCAAAUUUGUCGAUCCCAUCUCUCAAAUGUAUCUCGUGUUAGUAUUAAGAGUCUCGUGUUAUCUAAUGUUAGACAGCUAAGGCAUUCGCUUGUCGCUCUACUUUAAUAACUAUACAUAUACUUUGCAUUAUUUAUUUUUCCCCUCAAUAAAAUACACUGUCGAGUUACCCAAUUGGAUACUCUUUAUCGUUUAUGCAAUGUUUAAAUAAUCGAGUUCGGUUGACAGUGGAUAUAAAAUGUUUAUUUAUAUAUUUAAUAUUUAUUUAUGCGCCUGAAAGGUGUCGGGUCCUAAAAUACAUUCCACGCGGUCAAACCAAGUUGAUUUUGUGAAAAUAUCCUUUAUUUGUCAAACGUAAUUUGUCACACAGAUUUAAUCUGGACAAUGUUUUUAAAACUAGACCGAUGUUGACCGAAGCGUACGAUAGAAUAACAUUAAGGUCAUGAUUUUUAACUAACUGAUGUUUUAUAUAUUUAUAAUUGCAACACUAAUAUUGUUCUGAUUUUGAGCUUACUGUGUAACGAUUGGUACCUUAUAACAUUGCAUUAUUAUAUUUGAAAGCACUGUUAUCUUAGCCCCUUUAAGUUGUUUGUUAAGGAGUCUUUAUCAUGUCUAUUGUCUUGUAAGAAUUUAAUAUAUAUAUUAAUUAAUAUAGUAGGAAUGCCUUGUUCGAUUCGCGUCUGUUUUCGUCGCUUUUUUUAUUAAACCGUGCUGUUAAAUAAAUGAUAGAUUCUCUCUUGGAAUAAUUGUUAACAUUGAAAAUGACAAAAUGACGUUAAAUUGUUGACUCACUAAAAAUUACGGUGAUAUAUAUCACUGCCUUUCCCCUAAGAAUAUUAGAGUUUUAAUAUGUGUUCAUUUUACAUUUUACCUCUUUAACAAAUCCGUUAGUCGAUACUUGCCUUAUAACUGUGGAGGAGAACCAUUAUCGAGUUAGAGAAAAUAGAUAGAUAAUAAUCUUUCAUACAUACCCCUCUCUCUUGUACGACGCAUGCACAAUAUAUGCAUUUAUAAUGUUUCUGAUGUCACAAAAGUGUACCAGUUUUGUAUUCCGAAUUAUUAGUUUACAUGAUAAACCUUCGUCUAUUAUAUGUUGCGUUUGAAUAAAUGUGCAGUAAUAUUAUUAAAUUGACCGUAAUUGUAUUCAAAAUUUCGACGGAAUGUAUAAAUUUAAACUUGUAACAGUUGAAAUAGAAGAGUGUAUUUCUCGAAUAUGUCUUAGUAAAUUUAAGUAUUUGUAUACAGAGUUAUAAUAAAGACGCCUUCUUUAAAUUACACGUGAUGGAGUUUUUACUUCCGAUUUAUUAAAAUAAUAUAGAUGCAGAUAUACUGUACGGAGUGUUUCAGAAUGUGUCUCUGUUAUGACUUAUUUUAGCUUUUGAAAUGUUUUCAAAAUAUUGUUCGACUUUAAUUGCAUUUAAAGUUAUUCAUGACAAAUUGUAAAUGUUACUGCCUAGAUGUAAUUGGCACCAUGGCAAACAUUUUGGUUGAAUAAUUAAUAAUUAACUGUUUAUUUCGCAUUAAGUGACGGUAAUUUAUUGUAACUACGAUGGAUAUUUUUUUAUGUUGCAUAGAAAAUAAAUUUUAAGAAAUUA